rnacentral:rRNA from 1 species
AUUGAACGCUGGCGGCAUGCCUUACACAUGCAAGUCGAACGGCAGCACGGGAGCAAUCCUGGUGGCGAGUGGCGAACAGGUGAGUAAUAUAUCGGAACGUGCCCAGUCGUGGGGGAUAACGUAGCGAAAGCUACGCUAAUACCGCAUACGAUCUAAGGAUGAAAGCGGGGGAUCGCAAGACCUCGCGCGAUUGGAGCGGCCGAUAUCAGAUUAGGUAGUUGGUGAGGUAAAGGCUCACCAAGCCGACGAUCUGUAGCUGGUCUGAGAGGACGACCAGCCACACUGGGACUGAGACACGGCCCAGACUCCUACGGGAGGCAGCAGUGGGGAAUUUUGGACAAUGGGCGCAAGCCUGAUCCAGCAAUGCCGCGUGCAGGAUGAAGGCCUCGGUUGUAAC